rnacentral:rRNA from 1 species
GGGAAUGCAUUAAGAGCUUGCUCUUAUGGGAUUAGGGGAGGACGGGUGAAUAACACGUGGGUAACCUGCCCAUAAGACUGGGAUAACUCCGGGAAACCGGGGCUCUACCGGAUAACAUUUUCAACCGGGUGGUUCGAUGUUGYACGCGGCUUCUGCUGUKCUUAUGGAUGGACCCGCGUCWARUUARCUAGUUGGUGAGGUAACGGCUCCCCAAACAACGAUGCCUAACCGACCUGA